rnacentral:rRNA from 1 species
UACGGAGGGAGCUAGCGUUGUUCGGAAUUACUGGGCGUAAAGCGCACGUAGGCGGCGUUUCAAGUCAGAGGUGAAAGCCCGGGGCUCAACCCCGGAACUGCCUUUGAAACUAGAACGCUAGAAUCUUGGAGAGGUCAGUGGAAUUCCGAGUGUAGAGGUGAAAUUCGUAGAUAUUCGGAAGAACACCAGUGGCGAAGGCGACUGACUGGACAAGUAUUGACGCUGAGGUGCGAAAGCGUGGGGAGCAAACAGG